GUUAGCUCAGUUGGUAGAGCAGUUGACUUUUAAUCAGUUGGUCGCAGGUUCGAAUCCUGCACGACCCACCA
rnacentral:tRNA from 1 species